UAACGGGCUGAGGGAAGUGCAGGGAGUGUAAACAUGGUCAAAACAGGUGAAACUCACAAGAACUGUCACUAUGGUAACCACUGCAUUGUUUACCUCAGACUAUAAAAGGUCGGUGUGGACUGAGCACGGGUGGAAGUCCUUCCUCUUGAGUUGGACUUACCUGCCUGGUCCCCCAAUAUUUCCAAAUUAUCUCUUGUCUUUCCUAUUUCAUUUGUGUGCGGCUCCUCUUCCAGAUGUUGAACCCUGAACCACGCGGGACGUGGAGGGGAACAUUUAUGACAUCUGGCGCCCGAGGGGGACUCUGGAAGUGAAUGUUUCGCUAGAGCGAAAAAACAAAGUUUCACUGGCAAAGUGAGGAACAAAGAAUUCACCGUAAAGAUAUUGAACCCUAAACCACGCGGGAUGUGGAGGGAAACAUUUACGACAACCCAGUGAGAAAAUUUUGAAGGGAAACACUGAAAAAUAGAAGCAAGAAAUUUUCUAAACCAUUUU